UACGUAGGGUGCGAGCGUUUGUCCGGAAUUAUUGGGCGUAAAGAGCUCGUAGGCGGUGUGUCACGUCGGCCGUGAAAAACCUGCAGCUUAACUGUGGGCGUGCGGUCGAUACGGGCAUCACUGGAGUUCGGCAGGGGAGACUGGAAUUCCUGGUGUAGCGGUGAAAUGCGCAGAUAUCAGGAGGAACACCGGUGGCGAAGGCGGGUCUCUGGGCCGAUACUGACGCUGAGGAGCGAAAGCGUGGGGGAGCAAACAGG
rnacentral:rRNA from 1 species